rnacentral:miRNA from 1 species
AAUUACUACUUUUGAGUGGUUA